UGUGGGAGCGAGCUUGCUCGCGAUGGCGGUGGCACAUUCGAUAUUUGUGCAAGCUGAAACACCGCUAUCGCGAGCAAGCUCGCUCCCACA
rnacentral:misc_RNA from 2 species